rnacentral:rRNA from 1 species
AAGAGCUUGCUCUUGCUGAGUUAGUGGCAAACGGGUGAGUAACGCGUGGGAAUCUACCCAUCAGUACGGAAUAACUUUUGGAAACAAAAGCUAAUACCGUAUAUUCUCUACGGAGGAAAGAUUUAUCGCUGAUGGAUGAGCCCGCGCAAGAUUAGGUAGUUGGUGGGGUAAUGGCCUACCAAGCUUACGAUCUUUAGCUGGUCUGAGAGGAUGAUCAGCCACACUGGGACUGAGACACGGCCCAGACUCC